rnacentral:pre_miRNA from 1 species
AAUAAACCAAUCUUUUACUUUUUACCUAUAAUUCUUGACUCUUCGUCUUAUUUAAAAAAAUUACGAUUAAUAUUUUUGUUUUUAUUAGAUGAUAAAUCAUGAAUAGUACUUUACGUGUGACUAAUUUAUUUUAAAUUUCUUGAAAAAUUUUCAAAUAAGACGGAUGGUCAAACGCUGGACACGGGAACCAAAAGGUUGCCUUAUU